UCAUGGUUAACUGGAGAGAGACAAGCCUUCCGUGCCCCGUGAAGUCACUUGCUGUCACGUGAAAGUUCCCGGAUGGCAGCGGGUCACUCCCAGGAUCCUAAAGAACUCGCCGGAAGUCGUUCUGCCCCGCAGAGGCUAGACAGGCCCAAGUCUUUUGGUUCCGGUGAGGGGGCAAUGUUCCAUUCCCCUGAACGCCACAGGCGCAGGUUUCCUUCCCAGUUAGCGUCCCAGAUCAAGAAGAAAAACGUGUUUCUGCGGAAGGCACUGAAAGGAAGAAGAGAGGAAAGAAGAGAGAAAGAAACAUCGAUUUGUUGUUCCACUUAUUUACACAUUCAUUGUUUGCUUCUUGUAUGUGCCCUGAGCAGAGAUCAAACCUGCAAACUUGGCAUAUCAGGACAACAUUCUAACCAGAUAUGUUUGGUGUAGUAGCUGGGGAAUCUGGUCGUGGUGGUUUAGUUUUUCUCCCUGGAAGCAGAACAGCUCUGCAUAAAUAUUUGCCUUCAAAAGUAUGAGUGGACAAUUUAGCUGUUGUUCUGGUGAGGAGGCUCCUGGUGAGUGUGCAUAUGUCUCUUGAACCUGCUGAGUUUCCAUCACUUCAGGAAUCCCAUCUAAUG